rnacentral:rRNA from 1 species
UGGGCGAAAGCCUGAUGCAGCAACGCCGCGUGCGCGAAGAAGGCCUUCGGGUUGUAAAGCGCUUUCGGGGAGAUGAGAAAGGACAGUAUCCCCGGAAUAAGGCUCGGCUAACUACGUGCCAGCAGCCGCGGUAAAACGUAGGAGCCAAGCGUUAUCCGAAUUCACUGGGCGUAAAGCGCGUGCAGGCGGUUCGAUAAGUUGGAUGUGAAAGCUCCUGGCUCAACUGGGAGAGGACGUUCAAUACUGUCGGGCUAGAGGACGGUAGAGGGAGGUGGAAUUCCCGGUGUAGUGGUGAAAUGCGUAGAUAUCGCGAGGAACACCAGUGGCGAAGGCGGCCUCCUGGGCCGUUCCUGACGCUCAGACGCGAAAGCUAGGGGAGCGAACGGGAUUAGAAACCCCGGUAGUCCUAGCUGUAAACGAUGUAGACUUGGCGUCGGUGGUGUAAAAGCCAUCGGUGCCGAAGCUAACGCGAUAAGUCUACCGCCUGGGGACUACGGCCGCAAGGUUA